CCGGCCACAGCGUAGAAAAGAUGAUCACCGACGUACAGCUAGCGAUUUUUGCCAAUGCCCUAGGUGUGACACUGUUCCUCCUGGUGGUUCUCUAUCACUAUGUAUCCAUCAACAACAUCAAGAGGCUGGACUAGAUCUGGUGUAGCACUACAUUAAUGUGUUCGUGAGUUAGGAGUUGGUGAAUGGGGUGUGAAAGAGGAGCGACUGGCCUCAUCUCAUAUUAAAACUGACAUCACUGUGGUCCAACGACAACUGUCCAGGAACCACAGUAUAGCAAUCACAGCAAGAUGUUGUUAUUUUAUCUUAAUUUGUUAAAGCAGGCAUGAAUUUUAUUUAUUAAAUUCGAAAAUUACA